rnacentral:rRNA from 1 species
CCUACGGGAGGCAGCAGUGGGGAAUAUUGCACAAUGGGGGGAACCCUGAUGCAGCGACGCCGCGUGAGUGAAGAAGUAUUUCGGUAUGUAAAGCUCUAUUAGCAGGGAAGAAAAUGACGGUACCUGACUAAGAAGCCCCGGCUAACUACGUGCCAGCAGCCGCGGUAAUACGUAGGGUGCAAGCGUUAUCCGGAUUUACUGGGUGUAAAGGGGGCGUAGGCGGUAUUGUAAGUCUGAAGUGAAAGCCCAGGGCUCAACCAUGGUACUGCUUUGGAAACUGUAACACUGGAGUGCAGGAGAGGUAGGCGGAAUUCGUGGUGUAGCGGUGAAAUGCGUAGAUAUUAGGAAGAACACCAAUGGCGAAGGCGGCUUACUGGAGUGUAACUGACGUUGAUGCUCGAAGGCGUGGGGAGCAAACAGGAUUAGAUACCCCUGUAGUC